rnacentral:rRNA from 1 species
AUUGAACGCUGGCGGCAGGCCUAACACAUGCAAGUCGAGCGGAUGACGGGAGCUUGCUCCUUGAUUCAGCGGCGGACGGGUGAGUAAUGCCUAGGAAUCUGCCUGGUAGUGGGGGACAACGUUUCGAAAGGAACGCUAAUACCGCAUACGUCCUACGGGAGAAAGCAGGGGACCUUCGGGCCUUGCGCUAUCAGAUGAGCCUAGGUCGGAUUAGCUAGAUGGUGAGGUAAUGGCUCACCAAGGCGACGAUCCGUAACUGGUCUGAGAGGAUGAUCAGUCACACUGGAAAGGAGACACGGUCCAGACUCCUACGGGAGGCAGCAGUGGGGAAUAUUGGACAAUGGGCGAAAGCCUGAUCCAGCCAUGCCGCGUGUGUGAAGAAGGUCUUCGGAUUGUAAAGCACUUUAAGUUGGGAGGAAGGGUUGUAGAUUAAUACUCUGCAAUUUUGACGUAACCGACAGAAUAAGCACCGGCUAACUCUGUGCCAGCCGCCGCCGUAAGAC